rnacentral:rRNA from 1 species
AUUAGUUAUAAUUAAUAAUAAAGCCUGCUCAAUGAAAAUUAAAUAGCCGCUUACAGUGCUAAGGUAGCAUAAUAAUUUGUCUUUUAAUUAAAGACUAGAACAAAAGGCCUAACAUCUUAAUUAAUUUUUUUAAAAAAAUUAAUUUAAAUUAUCUUAAUUGUAAAAAGACAAUUAUAUAAAAGAAAGACGACAAGACCCUAUUGAACUUUACUUUAGUUUAACUGGGGUAGUUAAUUAAUUAUUAUUUUAAAAAAAAUAAAUCACUAAUUUGACCUGAUAUAAUUAAUAAAAUAAUUAAGUUACCAUAGGGAUAACAGCGUAAUAAAAUUUUAAAGAUCUUAUAAAAAAUUAAGAUUGCGACCUCGAUGUUGAUUUAAUAUCCUAAUUUACGCAAUAGUUAAUUAAGGAAGUCUGUUCGACUUUUAAAAAAUUACAUGAUUUGAGUUCAGACCGGUGUAAACCAGGUCGGUUUCUAUCUUCUAAAAUAUUUCUUCUAGUACGAAAGGACCUAAGAAAAUAAUAAUAUU